rnacentral:rRNA from 1 species
CGAAGAACCUUACCAGGUCUUGACAUCCCGAUGCUAUUUCUAGAGAUAGAAGUUACUUCGGUACAUCGGUGACAGGUGGUGCAUGGCUGUCGUCAGCUCGUGUCGUGAGAUGUUGGGUUAAGUCCCGCAACGAGCGCAACCCUUACCCUUAGUUGUUUUCCCGAAAGGAUUACCCUCUAAGGGGACUGCCCCGGACAACGGGGAGGAAGGUGGGGAUGACGUCAAGUCCGCAUGCUCCUUACGUCUAGGGCUACACACGUCCUACAAUGGGGUCGACAGUGGGAUGCAAAGCCGCGAGGUGGAGCCAAUCCCCAAACGGCCUCUCAGUUCGGAUAGUAGUCUGCAACUCGACUACUUGAAGUCGGAAUCGCUAGUAAUGGCGGAUCAGCAUGCCGCCGUGAAUACGUUCCCGGGUCUU